CAAUAUUUAAAAGAGUAUGUUUACUCAAAUAAUGGCGUGACCUUCGAUUAGGCGAAUUGAUUUAUUUAAGUAAAAAUUAUAUAAAUUAGUAUAUAUUUAAAUCAACCAAGUGUUUGUAUUGUUUUUUUGUAGAAUUAAAUUUGAAAAUAUAUUGGAGUAUUUUUAGUUUAAAGUUGUAUGCCUUCGAGUGACUUACUUCAAAAUGUCAUUUUAAAAUUUUUAUUCUUUAAUGAUAUUCUGGUGUUAUUACCAAAUGUUUAGCAGUAUGAAACCUAUAAUAUUAUAUACCAUACUAUAUACCCUAUUUUACUUAUAAAGUUAAUAAUCUGUAAAGUAAUUUGUAAAAAUUUUUUAAUUGUAAAAUUGCUACAUGAGAAGACAAGUUGUUAGAUGAAAUUCAAAUAUUCUCUAUGUUUGUGUUGUGUAGGUCAAAAAAUAAUAAACAAAGAUGAUAUUGAUUGUGAUGACCAAGAGAUUCAUUUUAAGACACAUCAAUCUUCAUCAUCUUUAAAUAAAAAGGAUAAACAUUAUGGAUUUCCAUUAUCUCAAGCAUAAACAAAGAGUUCAAAAUAAUAGUGGUAAGAACUGUCAAAAACUUGUGAUAGCUAUGAUGAAGAGAUUUAUGACAAAUUCGCUCAUGGCCAAAUCUAAUAUGGCAGCUGGAAAAAGCAAAGGAUCUUUUUAGCCUAACUAAGCUAUACAACUUAAUAAAAGUUUGUGCAUCGACUUCUCACGAAUCAUACACAGAGUCGAUUGUCGAUGCAAUAAUUGCUGAUUCGUGAAAACGGGCAACUUUUGCUUGUCUUAAAGUGCCUUAUAUCCAUCGUUAUAAUAUUACUUUGUUUGUAAAUUGUUUUAAAAAAUAAAUUUAAAAAUAACUUUUAAAUAAA